UCAUAUUAAAGGCAAGCUUCUUUUAUCUCUAUCUCUUUCUCAAAUGUUCCCAAUUCUCCCAAUUUCCACCAUUGUUAUAUCACUUUAUCAUGGAAGAUGACAAGAAACACGGUAUGUUAUACAAAAUCAUAAACGGGUAACACCUCCUCAGAUCGGAAUGUUUAUUAUCUAAAAUUGAGGGAUUUCUACUUGGAAAAGAUUCACAAUUUCCCAUCAACUAUUACAUUUUAUCAUCUCCAACCAAAAUCCAAUUCGAGCGAUAUAUCGAGUAACAAGAUGACUUGGAAUUUGAAGGUACGAGUAGCGAGAUUGUGGCACGUUCUAGACAAACCAGACAACACUAUCUCCCUUGAAUUAAUUAUUCAAGAUGAAAAGGUGUAUUCUUUUUUAGUUGCAUUUAUUUUUUCCCGUAAUUUGACUACAAUAUCCAUCUUCUGAUUUGCACUAUGGAAUUCAUUAGGUUAUGCGUGUAUUUAAUCAACUGCAAUUUCAGUUUUUAUGGUCCAGAUGGAGAUACCUCGAAUUGUGAAUGAAGCUAACUCUUCAUCUGCAAUUUUGGUAGAAAAGAUUUUUGGUAUACUUGAAAUCGUUUGUAAUUUGUUCUAAAGAAUUGUUUUCAUGUGCGAGAACAUUUUUGGAGAUAUUAAAAUAUAUAAUAUCUAAGAUUAUUGGUAUAUGAACAAUAAUUGCCAUAAAAUCUGCAUUAUCUGUUAUUUUGGAAAGGCAUAUAUUCACAUAUUAUGCUUUACCCCUUGGUGCUUGAUUGUUUAAUAUAAUCUGAGACAACACUGUACAAUUGAGUAUUUGCCUGACUCAAUAUUAUUUAUGAUUUAUUUUUUCUCGGGCGAUCGGAUUCAUGCAACUGUUGGUCGGUCUCUUAUACGUAUGUUCAAACUAAAGAUAAAGGAAUUGGGUUUGUACUUUAUGAAGAACUUUGUAGUUGGACCAAAUAAUAUGAAACUUAAAUACAUGCGGCAUAAAUUGAAGUUGGCAUUUACUCAUAAGACGAUUGUAGAGGAAUCAAAUGAUCAGUUUUUUGGUAUGAGUAUCUUCGACUUAAGACCUUAUGAGUAUUUGGUAAAUAAACUUGAUGUUGAAGAAAGUGAACUCUUCGGUAAGUAUUUCUUUCGCAAUUCUUUUAUUUGAAUGUCUUAUCAAAUUUGUUGUGACUAUUCUUUUUAAAUAUUAUAGAUGUCAUAGGAGAGGUUGUAAGUUAUGGUGAAGUAGAAUCACAUACCCAAGGUGAUAAGACCAGCACUUUUAUGAAUGUGGAACUUGAAGAUCAUGAAGGAAUAAUAUUUCGGCAACAUUUUGGGGAGAAUUCGUAGACCAGAUCUUGCCACAUUUGGAAGGAUCACCCCAUCAGCCAGUCAUAGUGGUUAUGCAGCUGAUAAAAGCUUACAAAUUUCAAGAUUGACAAGUGUGAAUGAAGCUAACUCUUCCAGGAUCAGUCAAAUACCUUCUCAGCGUAGUUAUUCUGUUUAUGAUGAGUUGGCUACUGGAAUUGUAGAAGUUAAAACUAUUAAAAAAUUAGUCUACUGCAUGGAGAAAGGACAAAUUUGGAUUGUUGCGACUGUAGUGAAUCUGCAACUUGAAAAAGAAUGGUCAUAUUUGGGAUGCAAGAGAUGCUCGAAGAAGGUUGAUAAAAUUGGAAGUAAAUUUCACUGCAAGAAAUGUGACCGCCUUGAUAGUUCUGCCACUCAUAGGUACAAGCUUCAAGUGCAAGUAAUGGAUCGCACUGGCUUUAUAUCUUUGUUGCUUUGGGACCGUGAAGCAACAAUCCUCAUUGGGAAGUCUGCUGAUGAGUUAAAUGAAAUUUCAAUAGAGACUUCUGGUUAUUGAAGCCAAGGUUUUAUCUGAUAAUAUGGCUGGACAAAAAGUGUUUAUCCCGAGAAUGACAUUGACACCAUCAGAUGCAAGAAUACCUUUUAAGUUCCAGGGAAGACAAUUUCCAAUUGUUGUAUCUUUUGCCAUGACAAUUAAUAAAAGUCAAGGCCAGUCAUUGUCUCAUGUGAGGUUAUUUUUGAAGAAGCCAGUAUUUACUCAUGGACAACUGUAUGUUGCUCUUUCACGCGUGACAAGUAGAAAAUGGUUGAAGAUUUUAGUUUAUGAUGAUGAUGGCCAAAUAACGAAUGAAGCUAGAAAUGUGAUGUAUAAAGAAAUUAGUUUGAGAUGAAGCUAGAGAUGGUGUAAUCAUCAGGGGCGAGAUGAAACUAGGUUCAGCAACACAGUAGAGGAUAUCAAGACCACUAUGAGGGGUUGGAGGACGUGUGAUGUGGAGUUUCAGCCGUACUUUGUGCUUGGUGACUUAUGGGAGUCUAUUAGAGAAUGAAGUGUAUAUUGAGGUGGAGUUCCAUUAGUGUUGAAUGAAGGUGAUAGUGUACAAGCCAAGCCCCUCAUUUUGAUACUGGCUUGGAAAAGUUCUUUCUUGAUGGUGUUCUGCUAUUUGAUUUUGUUCUCAAACCUUACUGACAUUUUGCUGCUGACAUGAGUAUUUUAUAUAGAGUAUAACUUACAUUUUCACGUUACAUGGUGACUU